rnacentral:RNase_P_RNA from 1 species
CGAGCCGGGCGGACGGCCGCGUGAAACCCUCUAGGGGGCUUCCCGAGGAACGUCCGGGCUCCACAGGGCAGGGUGGUGGCUAACGGCCACCCGGGGUGACCCGCGGGACAGUGCCACAGAAAGCAAACCGCCAGGGACUCCGGUCCCUGGUAAGGGUGAAACGGUGGUGUAAGAGACCACCAGUGCCCAGGGUGACCUGGGCAGCUAGGUAAACCCCACCCGGAGCAAGGUCAAGAGGGAGCGCCCCUGGUGCUCCUGCGCGGACGACCGAGGGCUGCCCGCCCGAGUCCGCGGGUAGACCGCACGAGGCCGACGGCAACGCCGGCCCUAGAUGGAUGGCCGUCGCCCCGGCCGCCGCGAGGCAACCGGGGAACAGAACCCGGCGUACAGCCCGACUCGUCUG